rfam:Triticum urartu cultivar G1812 contig591175, whole genome shotgun sequence.
CAACUACUCCCUUUGUCCCAAAUUUCUUGUCUUAGAUUUGUCUAAAUACAUAUGUGUCUAAUACUAAAAUGUGACUUGGUACAUCCGUAUCUAGAAAAUGUGAGAAAAAAAAAUUUGGGACAGAGGGAGUAGUUG